UCUCAUGAGAGUUGUCUUAGAAAGCACUUUAAGAGAUCUCCAACAAACAAAGAGCUGGAUUUCUGGAUUGCCUGGGCCUGGGCCUGGGAUCCUUGGUUUAAAAAGAGUCACUGUCAUAAACAGAGUUAUUUUAUGAACAGGGGAGGGACAAAGAGAGGAGGAGGACAGAGCAUCUGAAGCUGGCUCUGUGCUGACAGCAGCGAGCCUAAUGCAGGGCUUGAACUCAAACCCAUGAGAUCAUGACCUGACCCAAAGUCGUAUGCUCAACCGACUGAGCCACCCAGGUGCCUCAGUGGAUGCUGAAGUCAUUGAUCUGAGGCAUUUCUUCUUUUCCAAUGUAAGUAUUUG